CCCUUAGACGUCCUGGGCCGCACGCGCGCUACACUGAUGCAUUCAACAAGUUCUACCUUGGCCGAGAGGCCUGGGCAAUCUUUUAAACGUGCAUCGUGAUAGGGAUAGAUUAUUGAAAUUUUUAAUCUUGAACGAGGAAUUCCUAGUAAACGCAGAUCAUCAAUCUGCAUUGAUUACGUCCCUGCCCUUUGUACACACCGCCCGUCGCUACUACCGAUUGAAUGGUUUAGUGAGGCCUUCGGAUCCGCGACUCGUUUGUGGAGAAGUUGGACAAACUCAGUCAUUUAGAGGAAGUAAAAGUCGUAACA
rnacentral:rRNA from 1 species